rnacentral:rRNA from 1 species
GAGUUUGAUCCUGGCUCAGAUUGAACGCUGGCGGCAGGCCUAACACAUGCAAGUCGAGCGGUAGAGAGAAGCUUGCUUCUCUUGAGAGCGGCGGACGGGUGAGUAAUGCCUAGGAAUCUGCCUGGUAGUGGGGGAUAACGCUCGGAAACGGACGCUAAUACCGCAUACGUCCUACGGGAGAAAGCAGGGGACCUUCGGGCCUUGCGCUAUCAGAUGAGCCUAGGUCGGAUUAGCUAGUUGGUGAGGUAAUGGCUCACCAAGGCGACGAUCCGUAACUGGUCUGAGAGGAUGAUCAGUCACACUGGAACUGAGACACGGUCCAGACUCCUACGGGAGGCAGCAGUAGGGGAAUAUUAGGACAAGUGGGACGAAAGCCUGA